GGCCAAGCGCUCCUGCUCGGGACCUCGAGCAGCUGCUGGCUUCGGUCGGUGUGGACGAGGAGAAGGCAGGGCCUCGGGCGCGGGGCGGACAGGACGAAGGAGCUGCGGGAGGUCAGACUUGUCCAGGAGGCAGGGGAGGCAGAUGCCCGGUGGCGCGGGGACUUGGUGCAGACGAGAAGAGGCACGGCGGCUGCGCGGGGAACCUGGCGCGAUCUCGGCGACGCGGACGAGGUGAGGAGGAGCGGGGGCGGCCUGAACUGGGCCUUGGUGUUCAAUCUGGAGCAUGGAAGCAGAGGCUGGGCGAGGGGCUUGGCGGGCGCCAUGAGCAGGGGAGCCUUGCUCCGGUCGAGGCAGACGAGAAGCAAGGAGGUGGAUGCGGGAUUGGAUGGAUCGAGGGGAGGAGGAAGGUGGCUAUGGUUGGCUCGAUGUGGAAUUCGAGGAGGAUUUUGGAGAGAGCGCUGGUUUGUGGAUUGGAUGAGGGUGAUCCCGAUAGGGAUUGAGCGGGUGGCGGCGCGAUGGGACAAGAAGCGUAGGCUUUAGGGAUUGGUCUAGGGUUGGGCUAUUUAUAUAGAUAGGGGAUUAGGGUAAGGGUUAAUCUGUUCCUCCAUUCGAAAUCGGACGGUCCAGAAUAGAAUAGGCAGGGAGUCCAAAUAAUAAAACGGAGAUGUUUUAGGGAUGUUAGGGGAUGAUCCGGACCCAACGGGGACGACAGCCCGGGUCGGGUUCGGGGGAGUUUUGGACAUGGUUGCGAAGGGGGUUCGAUGCACUGUGCAAAGAAGGAUUAGAUGGUUUGACAAGAGUAAAUUGAAAACCCAGUUGGUCUGGAACGGUCAAUGAAGGCAAAGUGGUCUGAGGGACGGUGAUGAAGGCAAAGGGAGAAACGGCAACGACGAGCGAAUGCAAGUUUUGAAAAAAAUGACGGCAACGAAGUGCUGAUGCAAUGCGGAUGAUGCUAUGAGAUGAAAUGCAUAACAAGAACAAAAUGCAAAACAACAGACAAAAACCCAACCACGGAGGAAAAAUAAAUCACAUAGCCGGAAAUGGCAAGAGUCGGAGUUGCGAAUAUGGAAAGUUGUAUCCGGGGCGUUACAACACUCCACCACUAUGAGAGGAUCUCGUCCCGAGAUCUAGGAUGGCACCGAGGGAAAAGGAAGAGGAAGAUAAGAGGUAAACUAAGUUGCUUCUUCGACAAACAAGUGAAACCAUGAACCUUGAGAGGUUGAAAGUUGAAAGAAAGAACAUAACAGAGUUGAACACAAUUGAGGGCACUGUGGUAGAACAAAUAGAAACAAGGAAGACCAUUUGAACCUUGCAGGUUGCAAAGCUAUGAAUCAAGAGUUUAAUGGACAAGAUAGAAUUUGAAACCACUCCGGUUAAAACAAGAUAAGAAUGAUAUAGUUUUGGAAGCACUCCGACUGAAGGAAGAAGGAAAACUUGAUAAGAUGAAAAGCACUUGAAGAGAUGACACAACACUCCGAUUAAAUGGAUAAGCCAGAAAAGAAGACGAUCCUCACCAAACGAGGUGAUGGGUGAAGAGCACAACAUCAGAAUGGCUCCGUAACGAAAGAAUAGAAGUUAGACCGUUGGGAUAAAGGGACGGAGAAGAAAUGACAACUUUUGCCACAAGUCAACUUGGAAAGCAUCCUUGCAAAGAAGAAUCGAACGGAGUUGUUGGAAAAUCAACAACGAGAAGCACAAGCUUGUUGUGGGCUUAUGGAAAAACUUCUCAAGACUAUGAGGUGACAUUCUGCCACUAACGAAAAACAAUUGCUUGCUUGAGAUCAAAGAAGAGAUAACAACUUGUUUCGCCGAGAGGAUAGGAGAAAAACUUGGAUCAUUGAUAGUCACCACAAUGAGCAACAUUCCUUAGGGAAGGCUUUAGGUGAAAACUAACCCAAGAUAACUCCAACAAAGAGAUUGAUUGGUCGAAAAGAUAUCUUGAACGAAGAGAAAAUGAUGGAUUUAGUUAACUCAUUCCUGACAACUUGUGAAUCAUGAAGCACGAGGAGAAAUUGCCGAGGAUGACAUAACACCAUCUCAAAAGAUAAGGUAGAAAGGAUUGCACUUCGGAAUGCAAGAUGAAGAAUACUUGAACUCCUUAGAAAAAAACAUGUGUUGGGCACCAUGUUUAUUUUUUUGAGUAUAGCUUGGCGGAUCAUAACUUCAAGAGAAAUCUUGAAGAACAAUUGAAGAAUGAAAAUAAUCCUUGACGAACCACCAUGUAGAGCCUCCAUCAAGAAGUCUGGUAAUAAAAUAAUGAUAGAAAGGAAGAGAAGUUGAAAACACAAGGUGAAGCCUUGCAAUGAAUUAGAUGGAGCAUCGCGACGAUAUAAUUGAGAAAACUUGGAACUCCGGAAAAAAAGAUGAAACACUAGAACCGAGAAUUACUUCAUCAUGAACAAUCUUCGAAAGAAAAGAAUUGAAUUUCCUUGAGGAAAUAAGAAUAAGAUUUAUUGUAUGCUUAUCCUUCAUCAAAUUCAAUUGAUGACAAGCAAUGGAUUUGGCAUACUACUUAUUCCCGUAGAAAGGAUUAAAAGAGAUAUAGCGCAAACUGGAGAAGGUAUUGAUGGAACCACCGGUGGGAUUUGGAAACAACAAAUAUUUGAUAUGAUAACGAAGGAAGUGAAAUCUUGAACGAACCGCCGUAAGAAUUGAAAAUGAAAGUAGCAAAGGCACAAUUCACCGGGAAGAAUUGGGGAACGAAUGAAGAUACUUGAGGGGAUAUAGAUACAUGAGAACACAGAGAUCAUGAACUGAUUAGAGGGUAUUUGAACGAUGCCCCGGUAAGAUUUGGAGAACAAGAGUUGAAGGCUGAGAAUAAGAAUUAUGACAAGAUGGCCUUCGAAGGAGAGAAAUGGAAACAACUCAUGAAAAGCUCCGGAUGGUAAGAAAAGAAUUCUCACAAUCAAAAACAAUUAUGAGAGGAUGGCAUCAAGCUUGGACUACACAUCUUUGGAAGAACGGGUAAGGAUUUAAGAGGAACUCUUCUUCGGUCUUCAAAAUCCGAGAAUGACGAGGAGAAACACCAUCCAAUUGUUGAGACACUCCGGAACAAAGAAGAAUAGAAAUGAUGAACCAACGAUGAAAAUAUUCUGAAAGCGAUCUUGGAGCAGGAAUAUGACUCAUGGAAAUUCAUUCUUACGUCAAACUUGGAAAUGAAUUUGAGAAUCGCUCCUGAUAAUUCGAAGAGUCAGGUAAGAUCUUGGGAAAAGACCUGUGGGUUAGGGCCCACUCAAAAGAAAACACCUUUGAAAAUGAUUUUAAAGAGAGAUUGCACCGGUUGAGUUAAAUGGCUUGAAUGAGAUAACAAUCUCCAAAUAGCUUGAACGGAUUGUGAAUGGAAACACAAGUCCUCUGAGAUAUCUUGAGCACUCCGGAUAAGAAUAGAGAGAGGUGAACAAUUAAGAGGUGCACCGACAUGGAGAAACAUUUGAAACGAGGAAAAGAAUAUGAUCAACACUGAAAGCUUGAAUUGGAUCCACCGGAGAAGAAAAAAGAACGAAGGAUGAUGAACUUGAAGCUCGCGAGCAUCUUCACGAGGGAUCACCGGAUCAGAACACUGAUUGAAAAGAGUGAAGUGACUUUACAUGAAUAAAUGGAUACUUGAUUAAAAUAAAUGAGUCCUUGAAGAAAAGGUUGGGAGGGCGGGAAAACAAAGGCAACUUGGGGACGGAUAAAACAAACACCGGUGAGAAAACUUAGAGUUGAUCUUGCGGAUGUUGAAAAUGAACGGAUCCACUUGAAGAGAAGCACACCGGUUGGAAAAGAAUUGACAUGACAACCUCAAUGAUCAAGAAGGAUUAUUACUCCCAUAGAAAUAUGAGAACACCAUUUAGGAAAGGUAUGGAUUCAACAUUUGACUUCGAAGCAACUCGAAUACCAUAAAUAAAACAAAACAAAGGAUUUGGCUUGCAGAAUAAGACGGAACAAACAUAUGAUAGAGAUUUACCCAAUCCCAUAUCAUGCAUCUGUCGGAAAAAUAUUCUAGGAGCUACUUGAAUUCCCAUCUAUAAACUCCCAAAACUUUCUGGUUAUGCAAUCUAGUGUUGGGGAUACAGGGGAAGCAAUAUAUCUCACCCAAACUAACAAUCCCUACAUCCAGCUGUAUCCAUCCGUUAACACAUAACCAAGAAAACUCCGGAAAUCGUGUACCUCAACCUUUGAAAAGCAUCCGUUAUACGAGCUAUGGCAAUACUCCCGAACUCCCCAGUACUGGGUGGCGUCGAGGUUAUCUCACCAACAACUGCAUAAAAGAGAUUUUCGAUGUCGGCAAAACUCAGGUAUUCCAGAACUGCAACGAUAAAAUUAUGACGACAACACCUCGGAGCUCAACUCCCCGGGUCAAUGCCACAUAAUAGACAGGAGGCACCAAGAACAAUGUUCUCGUCACAAAACCAUCGGAACGAUUCCAAGAUACCCGCGUGAUCCUAAAAAAAAUUGUGAAAAAUUGAGGAGAGGAAAGACAAAACAUCUACGUCGAGAGUCCUCACCGGAGCGACGAAGGGGGCUGAGGAGUAAAAAGAAUCCUACUCUUCGAUAUAUAUAAUCCUAAGACUCAAAAUAGUUUUCUUCUAGACUCAACAACGGCCAACAAUCAAGGGGGCUCCUAUGGUCGGUCGAGGCUCUGAUACCAACUUGUCACGCCCAAUAUGCGACCCUAUCCAAAAGGAACUCGAAGGUCCCACCAAGGAUAGACCCGCAUAUUGAAACGCUUUUGCAAGGUGGAUAUCAUUACAUCAACAUUACAUAAUCGAUGGGGAUACAUACAUAAGGCAUACAAUGCCACUCAAAUACAACAUCACAACACAUAAGAGCAUCAUCCGACUACGGAUGAAACACAAACAGAAACUCAAACGACAUCCACCCUACUAGCCUAGGCUGCCGACCUGGAACCUAUCCCUGAUCGAAGAAGAAGCAGAAGAAGAGCUCAAGCAAGCAAGCAUCGCUCUCGCGUCAUGAUCAUCACAUAACCUGUACCUACAAUUGUUGUUGUAGUAAUCUGUGAGCCACGAGGACUCAGCAAUCCCAUUACCAUGGGUAUCAAUACUAGCAAAGCUUAAUGGGAAAGGAAUGGGUAAAGUGGUGAGGUUGCAGCAACGACUAAGCAAGUAUGGUGGCUAACCUACGCAAAUAAGAGCGAGAAGAGAGCAAGCAGAACGAUCGUGAAGCUAGCAAUGAUCAAGAAGUGAUCCUGAACUCCUACUUAUGUCAAACAUAACCCAAAGACCGCGUUCACUUCCCGGGCUCCGCCGAAAAGAGACCAUCACGGCUACACACGCGGUUGAUGCGUUUUAAUUUGGAUCUGGUGUCAAGUUAUCUACAACCGGAAAUUAACAAAUUCCCAUCUGCCUACAACCGCAGGCACGGCUUUCAAAAGAUUAUACCCUGCAGGGGUGUCCCAACUUAGCCCAUGAUAAGCUCUCGCGAUCAACAGAGGAUAUACCUUCUCCCAGGAAGACCCGAUCAAACUCGGAAUCCCGGCUUACAAGACAUUUCGACAAUGGUAAAACAAGACCAACAAAGCCGCCCGAUGCGUCGACAAUCCCGAUAGGAGCUGCACAUAUCUCGUUCUCAGGGCAACACCAGAUGAGACAUCCUACGAGUAAAACCAGACCUCGAGUUUCCCGAGGGGGCCCCGCAGUCUACUCAGUUCGGACCAACACUUAGACAAGCACUGGCCUGGGGGGGCUAAAAUAAAGAUGACCCUCGGGUUGGCCGACCCAAGGGAAAGGUAUAGGUGGUGGUGAGGCAAAUGAUAAAACCAAGGUUGGGCCUUGCUGGAGGAGUUUUAUUCGAAGCGAACUGUCAAGGGGUCCCAUAAAUCACCCAACCGCGUAAGGAACGCAAAAUCCAAGAACAUAACACCGGUAUGACGGAAACUAGGGCGGCAAGAGUGGAACAAAACACCAGGCAUAAGGCCGAGUCUUCCACCCUUUACCAAAUAUAUAGAUGCAUUAAUUAAAUAAGAGAUAUUGUGAUAUCCCAACAUAAUCCUGUCCACCAUGGAGCAAUCUUCAACUUCACCUACAACUAGCAACGCUAUAAGAGGGGCUGAGCAAAGCGGUAACAUAGCCAAGCAACGGUUUGCUAGGAAGGGUGUCAAAGGAUUAGAGGUUCAUGUCAAUUUGGGAUGGCUUGAUAAACAGGUGAUAGGUAGCACAGCAUAGCGAUAGAACGAAGCAACUAGCAUAGCAAUGAUAGUAGUGAGAUCCAGGGUAGCGCUCAUCUUGCCUGAAAUCCCGCAAGGAAGAAGAACGAGUCCAUGAAGAAGACAGACGAACGUAGUCGAACGAAUCAUCACAACUUCGGAACGAAACCGAAGGCAACCCGGAAAGAAGCAAACAACAUGGUAAACACACAAGCAUAAACAUGGCAUGAUGCACAAUCAAGUAUGAUGCAUGUCCGGUUUAAAUGAGGCAUGGUAUGGCAAAGUGCAACAAGCAAUACUACAAGUUAAGCGGAGCUCAAUAUGCAACGAGUUGCAUAUUGACAAAACACCACAACAAUUAUUUAGUUCAUCUCGUUUAAGCUACCAAACAAUAUUAAAUGUGGUUAAACAUGGCAAGAGGUGAAGUAUAACAAAACUACACUAUCUAAGCAAUUUAAAUGAGGCUGGAAACAACAAACAACAAUUCCGGAAAAUCCCCAUGUGCAUAUUUUGAAUUAGCUACUGUUCUACCCUAAAACAUAUUUUAAAGUUGUUAAACAGGAAAAUAAAGUGCACCAUGUUAAACUAUGCAUUUUUCUAGCCCAUUUACAUAUAAAGAACAUUUAAAACUGAGCUACGGUUAUUUAGUUAUGAAAUACAUCAUUUUAGUAUAUUAUUUAAGCAAAAUUAAACAAACAACAUUUUAAACAUAUUUAACAUGGAUGAAAGUGGCAAAUUAUUAAUCUACACAAAAUUCUAAUCAUUUUACAUGUAUAAGUUAUUUACAAAAGAUGCAUAGUUCAUGAGUAAUUAUAUGCAUGAAGUUAGAGGGUUUUUCUGUAAAAACUCCAGUCUCUGGAUAAUGUCUAAAUUUGCAGGCAAGGAAAAAAACACUAUUUAGGCCGAAACUUGCUGGCCCGACAGGGUACAGGAGGGGGACUAGAUGGGGCUGCUCACCCAUGUGCUUGGCCCGGUUCGGUGGAGGAGGCUGGCAGGCCGCGGGGUGCAGGCUGGGCCUUGGGAGGCGCUGGGCAGCUGGGCUGCUGGCAUUCUAGACGAGCCGGGACGCGGUCAACGAGGCUGGGCGCGCCUCGUUCGUCUUCGAAGCAGAGGAACCAGGGGCGCGGCGAGGACGGGGUCAACGGCACGGCAGCAGCCGUAGGGAAGGCCGGCGAGGUGGAGAUGGGGCGGAUCCGGCUGGCCGGCGCCGGAUCCGGGCAACGACGGCGCGGACGGAGCUUAGGGGCGGCCAUGGCGAAGCAGAGGACAAGGAUGGCCUGUAGAUAGCGGGCCGUCGACGGGCAUGGGGCAGACAAGGCCGAAGAAGGUCAUCGCCUGUGACGGCCCGAGGGGACGAGGUCGAGCGCUCCUGCUCGGGACCUCAAGCAGCUACUGGCUUCGGUCGGUGCGGACAAGGAGAAGGCAAGGCCUCGGGCGCGGGGCGGACAGGACGAAGGAGCUGCGGGAGGUCCGACUUGUCCAGGAGGCAGGGGAGGCAGAUGCCCGGUGGCGCGGGGACUUAGUGCAGACGAGAAGAGGCACGGCGGCCGCGCGGGGAACCUGGCGCGACCCCGGCGACGCGGACGAGGUGAGGAGGAGCGGGGGCGGCCUGAACUGGGCCUUGGCGUUCAAUCUGGAGCAUGGAAGCAGAGGCUGGGCGAGGGGCUUGGCGGGCGCCAUGAGCAGGGGAGCCUUGCUCCGGUAGAGGCAGACGAGAAGCGAGGAGGUGGAUGCGGGAUUGGAU
rnacentral:lncRNA from 1 species